rnacentral:rRNA from 1 species
UGGGGAAUAUUGCACAAUGGGGGAAACCCUGAUGCAGCGACGCCGCGUGAGCGAAGAAGGUUUUCGAAUCGUAAAGCUCUGUCCUAUGAGAAGAUAAUGACGGUAUCAUAGGAGGAAGCCCCGGCUAAAUACGUGCCAGCAGCCGCGGUAAUACGUAUGGGGCGAGCGUUGUCCGGAAUUAUUGGGCGUAAAGGGUACGUAGGCGGUCUAUUAAGUCAGGUGUGAAAGCGUGAGGCUUAACCUCAUUAAGCACUUGAAACUGAUAGACUUGAGUGAAGGAGAGGAAAGUGGAAUUCCCAGUGUAGCGGUGAAAUGCGUAGAUAUUGGGAGGAACACCAGUAGCGAAGGCGGCUUUCUGGACUGCAACUGACACUGAGGCACGAAAGCGUGGGUAGCAAACAGG